UAGACUUGGUGCCUCACACCCAGAUCUGCAUCGGAAUGUAGAAAAGAUCUUAAAAAAAAAAAAAAAGUUUUGAAUUCCUCAAUGAUUUUUCUUCUGGAAAGGCAGCUUAGGAUAAUUAUUUCAGCUUUAUUGAGGGCAGAUUAGUUGAAGUCUGGACGAUGCUUUUCAAUACACGUUGUACACGGGCCGACAAUGUGG
rnacentral:lncRNA from 1 species